GGGGAUGCUAGGCAUCGCGAGGUUGACCAGUGCCGGUUGUUAGCACACCGAGCAGGCGUUCUCUAUCUCGUAAAACAGUGAACGCAAAGACCAAGUGCAAACUUGUUCUCAAAAGUGCGUGACGCGUUUCGCGUUCCCGCAUUUGCAGUAGCGUAAAAGCAGCUGCCAUCCGUCCAUCUGCGCCCGCAGGGUGACAACGGGUGUUAUAUACGCGGGCUUGGUUAUGCGGCUUUCGUCUUCAGCUGCAUGACAACACCAUGAAGACUGCCUCAUCGUGAUUUCUGCCGGCCCUUUACACGGUGAGCGAAUUCAAGGCCGACUCUGUGUGGACACAGCUGCCGACGCUCAGCCUCGACAGGGGUUCAAUUCCCCUCAUCUCCAUAA
rnacentral:tmRNA from 1 species